AUCUUAGAUGCAAACAGAGGAACAACCGCGAGCAUAUUCACACAUUUGCUCAAGCCCUCUUGUCAGAAGCCAAUACCUUGUCCACCCUGGAGCUGUCCCUGGUCUCACUGCCCCUGUGACCACCACCAGUAACACCAGGACUGACUCUUUGCUUCACUGAUCCCACAGACCCUGCUGGAGCCAGCGAUGAAGACCUAAAGGGGGUUCCAUGUCCUUGGCAUAGAAGCAGAAGGCCUGGGAAGUUGGACCUAAGGCUAGUAAUCCGCUUAGCAGGUGUCACAGGAAGGGGGUGAGUGUGGCUACUGAGGAUGCCCAAGGAUGUGCCCUGGCUAUCAGGCAGCAU
rnacentral:lncRNA from 1 species